rnacentral:lncRNA from 1 species
CACGCAGCACUCCAUUCAUUCAUCACGCAAGCCUGCAGAGGAACUCCCUCACGCACCGGCUCGCAUCUACCCGGCAGGAGGAAAGACGCAGGCACCCGAGCCGGCGUACAAGGAGCUCGGCGGCUGCGACAUGGACGCGAAGCUCACCUUCCCCGAAAGUAAAACUUUGAUCUAACCCAUCCCUUUCCUUGUUCCUUCUUUGCAUAUAGCAUGCACACACACAGGUCGGGAGCGUUGCCGAAAGCAAUGUUCGCAUGACCGGACCCCCGUCGGAGAUGGAGCCGCCGGACCGGAAGGUGAAGUGGACGUCGCCGGAGAUGGUCUUCACCAAGCCAGCGCCACAAAGAACGACGAAGAGGUCGUCAUCACCACCUGUUGUUCGCCUCGUCACGACGGUUCGGCCAAGACGACGACACGGAGCACGCCACGACGCCGCCCACCGUCGAGGUCGCCAGGUCGAUGCCCCGGAGGUCGACGCCACGGUGGACACCCCAGUCAUCACCGCGCGACGAGGACGACGCGUCGCCGGAGCUCAUCUUCACCAAGCCCGCGCUAUGGAUGCUGACGCCACCGAGGUCGGUGUCACAGAGGUCGACGCCACUGUGGCCACCCCAGUCAUCACCGCGCGAUGAGGACGACGCGUCCCCGGAUCUCAUCUUCACCAAGCCAGCACCGCAAAGAACGACAAAGAGGUCGUCAUCACCGCCUGUUGUUCACCUCGUCAGGACGGUUCGGCCAAGACGAUGGCAUAGAGCACGCCACCACGCCGCCCACCGUCGAGGUCACCGAGGUCGGUGUCACAGAGGUCGACGCCACGGUGGCCGCCCC